rnacentral:rRNA from 1 species
UACGUAGGGUGCGAGCGUUGUCCGGAAUUAUUGGGCGUAAAGGGCUCGUAGGCGGUUUGUCGCGUCGGGAGUGAAAUCCACUGGCUUAACUGGGGGCUUGCUUUCGAUACGGGCAGACUGGAGGUAUGCAGGGGAGAACGGAAUUCCUGGUGUAGCGGUGAAAUGCGCAGAUAUCAGGAGGAACACCGGUGGCGAAGGCGGUUCUCUGGGACGGUACUGACGCUGAGACGCGAAAGCGUGGGGAGCGAACAGG